rnacentral:rRNA from 1 species
UACGUAGGGUGCAAGCGUUAUCCGGAAUUAUUGGGCGUAAAGAGCUCGUAGGCGGUUUGUCGCGUCUGCUGUGAAAACUGGAGGCUCAACCUCCAGCCUGCAGUGGGUACGGGCAGACUAGAGUGCGGUAGGGGAGGUUGGAAUUCCUGGUGUAGCGGUGGAAUGCGCAGAUAUCAGGAGGAACACCGAUGGCGAAGGCAGAUCUCUGGGCCGUAACUGACGCUGAGGAGCGAAAGCAUGGGGAGCGAACAGG